rnacentral:lncRNA from 1 species
UUCCUGAAUUCAAGUUAAAUGGUUUAGUGCUAUUGUUUUGUUAAAGGCUGACAGGCUAAACACGCAUAUUGUUAAGGGUGAGGUGACCACGUGAGGACAAUUUCUUCUGCAGUCAAUCAUAUCAUGGCCAGUGCUGGAUGCAGUACACAACUGUGCCGUGGGAAUAGCCAAGGACUCCCAUCACCCCACAGGGAAUAUUUCACUGGAGGAGCAGCCCUCUCCACUAAGCCAGACAGCGGGCAUGGCCAGCAGUCCCAGCUGAGCUGGAGGUGACACAGCACAGUGCACAGGGGAGCUCCAGACUGCUCAGCCUCUGGGCUGCUGACACCUCACAGGCCACUGCAGGGUGCCCUGGACAUGCUGCCUCUCGCAGGCCACACUUCUGCUGUCAUCUGAGCUUAAUUGGACCAACUUGAUCAAAAGCAGUCUCCACGAUAAGACAGGAUGCUAUUGCAUGCCCCGGAGCAGCACGAUGAGUAAGGCAGCUGUUUUACAAGCAGUUCAGUUCACAAUUUAACACCUGAGCUUUAUGUUGGGCCAGCCAGUCACUCACAAGGGAGCAACCUGUGCAACACAACUGCAGAGCCCUGACUUUCUCCAGCAGCACAGCAGGCCUGGAGGGUUUCAUGAAACUGCAUAUUCCCCAGAGAGGGGCUGUGCAAAGUGACCCACAAGUGGCCAAGACCCAAAGCUAGAGAGGACAAAGCCUCCAACUCCUCUUAGUGACCUGUGGAAAUGCCUGUGGACAGCAAGAGCAGGGCAGGGGAGGCUUCUCUGUUCUCUUUUUUCUCUGCUUAUCUUGUUCUGUUCUCCUCAUUAUGGGUGAUUGGGACAGAACCAUCACUGGGCACCAGCCAGGGAAUGUCACCUUAAGUGCCCUUCCUUUCUUUUUGAAAUUAUUAUUAAUGUUCUUAAUGCUCUGUAGUUUUCCAAAGAGGAAGGAGGAAAAAAAUAUUUGCUGCAGGGCAUUUAUUUGACAGCUGCCAGCAAAGCUUGUGUCUCUGUGAGCCCAUCCAGGAGCUUAGAGCUUCAUUAUUUCUAAUUUCCUAGUACAAGCCUUCAUUUACCUUUUACAUGAUGGAAAAGGAAAGUAGUCCUUUGCAAAACACUGUGGAAGAACAACUGAGUAGUAUAUCAGAUGUAGUCACGAGAAAAGUCAGCACAGAUAAAUGCAUCAUCAGUUGCUAGUUCUCUCAGAGACUGCAAUUCCCCACCCAAGAGCAGAUUUCCUGUGAAAAAUGCAAACAACAGUGCUGUGCCCAUCAGUGAUCAGACUCAUCACCACCCAAGGCAGCAGCUGACUUCCUGCCUGUCUGACUUCGGUGUGAGAGUGCUUUUUCCACGUCAUAUACAAAAUAACACAGGAGAAAUCUGCCUCUGAGACUAGAGCUGCAUGCACGUGGGAGCAGCAGUGUGUUUCUUAGGAGAACUCAGUAAAACUCCAAAAUAUUUCAAUGCACAGAAGCAGGCAGCUCCCAGAGUUGACACUACUUUAGAGUAGAAUGUGUGCAACUUUAAAAAUGAAAUUAUAUGGUUCUGAAAUGACAUAGAGACCAUUCUGACAGCAUAACUCAUUGGAACUUGACAGAGAAACCAAACAGCUAUUUUAGAGAAAAGCUGUAACUGUAAAAACCUCAAUAGAAAGAUGCCUCUUUGUAGUACAGAAAUUCUGAAAAUCCUGAAUUCUAGCAGCAAAAGCCCUGAACAUUGUCUUUAAGAAUGAAAGUAAUUCCAACUAAACUACAAUGCAGGAAUUAUCCUUGUUGCCAGGUUUAGAGCCAGCAGAUGAUGCUGUAUUGCCCAGCACCAAAUCCCAUUUUCUCCAGGAGUAAACACAGUGGGACUGGCUGUCAGGGAGCAACAGCAGCAGCUUCUCCCCAGUGGCAGACAGGGAUCAAAACACUGGUGAUGGUCAGCUAGAGCAGGACCCUGCAGCAGUGAGAGGCACAGCCCUGCAGGACCUGAAAAUGGAGAUCUGAGCAGGUCUUGUGGAUUUACAGAAUCAUGGAAUCAUUAAAGUUGGAAAGGACCUCUAAGAUCAACAAGUCCAACUGUUAACCCACCACCACCACCACCAUUUAACCAUGUUCUCAAGUGCCAUAUCUGCACAUUUUUGAACACUUCCAGGGAUGGCGACUCCACCACAGUCCCUGGGAAGUCUGUUCCAAUGCUUCACAACCCUUUCUGUGAAAAAUAAAUCCCUAAUAUCUAAUCUAGACCUUUCUUGAUGAACUUGAGGCCAUUUCCAUUCCAUUCCAAUUUCCAGAGAGGGGGCAUACACAAAUUCUGUGGGCAACUUGGUCCAGUGUCUGACAAAAGAAUCACUGAGGAAGCAAAGUUUCAGCCAGUACGCCAGUGAUCAAUCACCCAGCAGCUCUAAAGCCAAGGGGCAAGUCCAAAAUCAGACUGGGAAGCCUCCUCAGCAAGUCAGGUUCAUCAAAAAUCAAAGCUACACCCAAGCACAGCUUAUCUGGAGCUCCUGGGCCAUGAGCAGAAGGUGCUGAGGAGGUCCAGGUGUGACUGGCCAUGAUGAACUCUCAGUGCCCAAAGCUGCUGCUCAAUCCUGAAAAAACUGUAUCAAACAAGCUGUUUGAAGGAAUGAUGGUCACCACUGAAGAAAAUAUUCAUUAGGAACUGGCAGCAAAUUUGGACCAAUACUUUGGGUGUCCUGAAGCAGUUUGUUUGGAGCAUGUAAUGCAUUUAACUUUGAAAGAUGUAUCAAAACCCUGAAAAUUGACUCUGGGAAGUCCUGGUCAGAAUACAGGGCAGCUACGAGUGGGGAAAGGAACCACCUUGCUUUUCACUAAGUCCUGAACAGCAAAUCAAAACACAGAAUUAAAGAAAAUUCUGUUUGCUAAAAGACUGGACAGAUUAAGUCAGAAAAUUACACUUUCAAUUUAUGCUCUGCUGCAAAACAAAGAUCUUUAUCUGGGGCCAUACUCAAACUACAGAGUUAACAAUGAGAAAAAUCCUCUUUCCAACACAAAGCAGACAAAAUUUUAAUUGGACAAACAGCUGCAGAAAUUGCCAUUUGAACUCAGAGGACUCCUUUGAUUCAGAACAGCAGCUCUACAAGAUUGCAAUGAAAACUGGGAAUCCCAAAGGAAAUUCCACUAUAACCACCCAUGAGGAAAAGAUAGCUGCAGUACUUUAAAGCUAUUUCUGAACCAAAAACACACUUGAACUGCAGGCAAGUUCUGUCUGUGGCUCAGAGGUGCUGCCAGUGUAAGCUGUAAAAAUAAUUACACCAUCAAUAUUUAGAAAUCAGAAGGACUUGCACAGAAAUGUCCCCAGUCCUGCUGGGAAACUUCCAUCAGCUGUGGAAGACUUUAGUGUUAUGAAUGUUACACAAGUCUCACUAGACUCAACUCUGCUCUUUAGAACAGGAGUGCUCGCAUGAGAUCCUCAGACAACUUUUCUUCUUCCUGCCUCUACCAUUAGUGGAAUGGCCUGGAAUUAAAUUGUAAAAGUACAGAAGUAUCUACAUGACUUGGAGGGCCAUAAACCCUAUGUAGGAAGGAAUUAUUUAAGGUUGUAGAAAGGGUAUAAUUAGAAGCUGUUAAAUGAAGUAAAGCAAACGAACAAGCCCAAGUAUAAAAGCUUCCUCUCAAUCUUCCAGCACACAGAACAAUCUUGUAGAGAGCAGAAAGGCUCCUAGAGCUGCUACAGAGACUGAGUGUGACACAGAGCACUGCAAACCCUGACUGCUGCACCCCCCAGAGCAGCUCUCAGUACUGCUCAGCAAUGUGGAAGAGCUGUGUUACCUAAAACACAGCAUCCUGUUUUUCCCAGGUCUGGAUUCAGUUCUGGAGCCUAUCAUGUGUGCCAGCACUGCUCCCAAAUGGUGGCUACAAAAAUACAAGCCAGAAAUGCUGCCUAGUCCCUUAAAUAAUAAUUUACUGUGGGUGCACUCAGGAUACAAAGACCUGGGCUCAGUUCCCUCCAUCUGGGCUGUGUGGCUGGGCCUGCUCUGCACACAGAGCUCUGCCAAGUGUCCACAGAUGCUCCUGGAAGCCAAGGGUGAGGGCUGCCCUGUGAUGCCUCCACACAGGACACUGCUGACUGAGGAGCCUGGCCAGUGUCU